GUGUCGGUAGUGUAACAGUUGGAGCACGCUUCCCCGGAUAGGGUGAAAUGUGGGUUCGAGUCCCACCUAACGCA